CCUACGGGUGGCAGCAGUGGGGAAUAUUGGGCAAUGGGCGCAAGCCUGACCCAGCAACGCCGCGUGAAGGAAGAAGGCCCUCGGGUUGUAAACUUCUUUUAUUAGGGACGAAACAAGUGACGGUACCUAAUGAAUAAGCCACGGCUAACUACGUGCCAGUAGCCGCGGUAAUACGUAGGUGGCAAGCGUUAUCCGGAUUUACUGGGUGUAAAGGGCGUGUAGGCGGGAGAGCAAGUCAGACGUGAAAUUCCUGGGCUCAACCCUUGAACUGCGUUUGAAACUGUUUUUCUUGAGUGCUGGAGAGGCAGGCGGAAUUCCGUGUGUAGCGGUGAAAUGCGUAGAUAUAAGGAGGAACACCAGUGGCGAAGGCGGCCUGCUGGACAUUAACUGACGCUGAGGCGCGAAAGCGUGGGGAGCAAACAGGAUUAGAUACCCUAGUAGUC
rnacentral:rRNA from 1 species